GACGAACGCUGGCGGCGUGCUUAACACAUGCAAGUCGAACGGAAAGGCCCUGCUUUUGUGGGGUGCUCGAGUGGCGAAGGGGUGAGUAACACGUGAGUAACCUGCCCUUGACUUUGGGAUAACUCCAGGAAACUGGGGCUAAUACCGGAUAGGAGCUCCUGCUGCAUGGUGGGGGUUGGAAAGUUUCGGCGGUUGGGGAUGGACUCGCGGCUUAUCAGCUUGUUGGUGGGGUAGUGGCUUACCAAGGCUUUGACGGGUAGCCGGCCUGAGAGGGUGACCGGCGACAUUGGGACUGAGAUACGGCCCAGACUCCUACGGGAGGCAGCGGUGGGGAAUAUUGCACAAUGGGCGGAAGCCUGAGGCAGCAACGCCGCGUGCGGGAUGACGGCCUUCGGGUUAUGAACCGCUUUCGCCGGUGACGAAGCGUGAGUGACGGUAAUGGGUAAAGAAGCACCGGCUAACUACGUG
rnacentral:rRNA from 1 species